GACGAACCGUGCGAACGUUGUUCGGAAUCACUGGGCUUAAAGGGCGCGUAGGCGGGCUGCCAAGUCCGGGGUGAAAUCUUUCGGCCCAACCGGAAAAGUGCCUUGGAUACUGGCGGCCUGGAGGGAGGCAGGGGCGGAUGGAACUUCCGGUGGAGCGGUGAAAUGCGUUGAUAUCGGAAGGAACGCCGGUGGCGAAAGCGAUCCGCUGGACCUCUUCUGACGCUGAGGCGCGAAAGCCAGGGGAGCAAACGGGG
rnacentral:rRNA from 1 species